rnacentral:rRNA from 1 species
GACGAACGCUGGCGGCGUGCUUAACACAUGCAAGUCGAGCGGAAAGGCCCUUUCGGGGGUACUCGAGCGGCGAACGGGUGAGUAACACGUGAGUAAUCUGCCCCUGGCUUUGGGAUAGCCACCGGAAACGGUGAUUAAUACCGGAUACGACCACUUCUCGCAUGGGAUGGUGGUGGAAAGUUUUUCGGCCAGGGAUGUGCUCGCGGCCUAUCAGCUUGAUGGUGGGGUAAUGGCCCACCAUGGCUUCGACGGGUAGCCGGCCUGGGAGGGUGGCCGGUGACACUGGGACUGAGACACGGCCCAGAGUCCUACGGGAGGCAGCAGUGGGGAAUAUUGGACAAGGGGCGGAAGCCUGAUCCAGCAACGCCGCGGGAGGGAUGGCGGCCUUCGGGUUGUAAACCUCUUUCAGCAGGGACGAAGCGCAAGUGACGGUACCUGCAGAAGAAGCACCGGCCAACUACGUGCCAGCCGCCGCGGUAA